ACACAAGAUGGCGCUGAGAUAGAACGAUGUGACUGUUCCAACAACGAAUUCUGUUUUGUCACCCAGCGGCAGUCUCACAGGACGUCAUAACACGAGCAUCACUAAGCCUAACCCCAAGAUACACGUGCGUGCGGCUGAUAUGGAUGAAACCACGUGCGAAUCUCCAAGAAAGAAGUUUCUAUCGAGCGAAUCCGAAAGAAGACAUGACAAUGACUAUGUAACUUCAACUGUGAGUCCUGCAGACCCGGCGAUCCGUGAACUGCCACAGAAAACGAGUGAGUGGAUAGGGGUACAUUUAUCGCAGAUUCAUGUGACUGUUGAUGGCUCUGUGACGUCACCUUUAUGUGUAUUUACUUGUGAAUACACGGAUUUUUUGAGAAAUAAUGACACCCACACUCUACCUGAAGUUAUUGCAGAUAUUUACGGAUCUCGGGACCCUGAACUAUCUGCGAAGUACCACUGCUGUAUAAAAGCAUGUACGGAUGUGUUUACAAUGGAUGCUGAUUCCAUAUUUAAUGUACCUAAACAACAACUUCAGGAAUUGAUUGUUGAACUUAGAAAACCAUUCCGUGAAACAGCUUUCGGAAAGUGGAUGAAAAAAUGGAAAAAGUUGUAUAUAGUUGGAAAGAAUGAAACAAUUAAAGAUUUUAUUGCAGAUGCUUGUGGAAGUAUCCAUGGCCGAUUACAAGAUUUUUGUGAGCAGUUAUUGUACAUGGUUAGAAGUGACAACACAGACGUGACAGAAGGAAUGUAACAAGAACUCUUCAUGUUGUUUAUCAGGAUCUUUGAUUUAAAAAUAAGUCUCAUCAGAAGGACUUCCCCAUUUACUCUCCUCUUAUGACAAGCAAGGGGUACUGAGGACCUAUUUCGACCCGGAUCCCCACGGGAUUCCUAAAUAGAAGAACAUGAAAACUUUUGGAGCUCAGAUCCAGUGAUAACUAUUGGAAACCAGAAUAUCAUUUCUGUCCCUGAUGCCCUUAUCUACCAAGCCGCAAAGAAAUUGUCAUCAAAAGAGGAAAUAGUAGCAGUAGUGAAGGUGAGAAAGAAACACAGAGAAGCAGAAGACAGCGUAUCUGAAGGAACAGCGAGAAACGCUGAGAAGAUAACUCCUGAUCUAAAUCAUCUCCACUCGAGCGUGACAGGACAACAUGUUGGCGAGAUGUUAUCGAUACUUCCCAGAUCUGUUUUUGGUAUCAAUGGCAUCUAUGGAAUCAUUGUCCAGGGAACAGAGGUGACGAUUGCUUUCCUGAGUGUUGGAGAAGAGUAUUAUAGAAAUCUGAAGGAAGGAUCCCUACAAAAGCUGUCAUCUGUAAAGUACAGCAGGCCUUAUAACUACCUACACAAACGUGAAAGAGAAAAUUUUAUCAAGACAUUCGUGGACAUGGGAGUACUGUCCGAUAAUUUACAAUGAUUUAUUAUUCUUUAAAUUAAAUAAACAAGUUUAUUUUU